AAUAUGAUCAGCUGUUCGAUUAUGUUCCAUAAAACCAAUUUGGUUUUUAUACGACCGCAAAAAUAUUUUGUGGUCGUAUAUUGGUAUGACGUUAGCGUCGUCGUCGUCCGGCGUCGUCGUCGUCCGAAGACACAUUGGUUUUCGCACUCUAACUUUAGUUUAAGUGAAUGGAUCUCUAUAAAAUUUUACCAUAAGGUUCAAUACCACAAAAGGAAGGUUGGGAUUGAUUUUGGGGAUUAUGGUACCAACAGUUAAGGAAUUAGGGGCCAAAAAGGGGCCAAAAAUAAGCAUUUUUGUAACUUCCAGACAUAACUUGUGUGUAAGUGUAUGGAUCUCUCUGACAUUGUACCACAAGGUUCCAUAUCACAAAGGGAAUGCUCGGAUUGAUUUUGGGGGUAAAAUUUUUGCCUCAAAAUUUUAGGAAUUAGGGGCUAAAAAAGGGGCAAAAAACAAGCAUUUUUCUAGUUUCAUGACAAUAACUUGUGUGUAAGUGUAUGGAUCUUUCUGAAAUUGUACUACAAGGUUCCAUAUCACAAAGGGAAAGCUGGGUUUGAGUUUGGGGGUAAUUGCCUUAAAUGUUUAGAAAUAUGGGGCCAAAAAGGGGCCAAAAAACAAGUAUUUUUCUAGUUUCCAGACAAUAACUUGUGUUCAAGUGUAUGGAUCUCUAUGAAAUUGUACUGCAAGGUACCUUACCACAAGGGGAAGGCUGGGAAUGAGUUUGGGGGUGAUGAAUCAUAAGGGGGUUUAAAAAAUUAGGGGGGGAUUUUUUUUUCCUUUUUUUUUCUUUAAAAUUUUCCAUUUUAAAUUGGUUAUUU